rnacentral:rRNA from 1 species
UACGUAGGGGGCAAGCGUUGUCCGGAAUCAUUGGGCGUAAAGGGCGCGUAGGCGGUGCGGUAAGUCACCUGUGAAAUCUCCUGGCUCAACUGGGAGCUUGCAGGCGAAACUGCCGUGCUGGAGUGUGGGAGAGGUGAGUGGAAUUCCCGGUCGUAGCGGUGAAAUGCGUAGAUAUCGGGAGGAACACCUGUGGCGAAAGCGGCGCACUGGACCAUAACUGACGCUGAUGCGCGAAAGCUAGGGGAGCAAACAGG